rnacentral:tRNA from 1 species
GGGGCUGUAGCUCAGUGGUAAAGCACUUACCUUGCAUGUGUGAGGCACUGGGUUUGAUCCCCAGCACCACA